CAUUAAAUAACUUAAAAUUAAAGUGUUGAUUUUUUAAAUCAAAAAUAAUAAAUUAAAUUAUUUUUAAUG
rnacentral:tRNA from 1 species